GACGAACGCUGGCGGCGUGCUUAACACAUGCAAGUCGAACGGAAAGGCCCUGCUUUUGUGGGGUGCUCGAGUGGCGAACGGGUGAGUAACACGUGAGUAACCUGCCCUUGACUUUGGGAUAACUUCAGGAAACUGGGGCUAAUACCGGAUAGGAGCUCCUGCUGCAUGGUGGGGGUUGGAAAGUUUCGGCGGUUGGGGAUGGACUCGCGGCUUAUCAGCUUGUUGGUGGGGUAGUGGCUUACCAAGGCUUUGGCGGGUAGCCGGCCUGAGAGGGUGACCGGCGAAAUUGGGACUGAGAUACGGCCCAGACUCCUACGGGAGGCAGCAGUGAGGAAUAUUGCACAAUGGGCGGAAGCCUGAUGCAGCAACGCCGCGUGCGGGAUGACGGCCUUCGGGUUGUAAACCGCUGUCGCCUGUGACGAAGCGUGAGUGACGGUAAUGGGUAAAGAAGCACCGGCUAACUACGUG
rnacentral:rRNA from 1 species